rnacentral:lncRNA from 1 species
GGGCGGAAGUAAGCUGCGCCCUGUUAGCCAGCUGCCUCUGGAGACGAACGACUUCAUCGGCCGCCGUCCGGAAUCUCCCUUUAUACUCUUCCACCUGCCGGCGCCAGCUGGCCUGCUGCACGUCGUGGCUCAUCUCGAUGUCUUGGAGCUGCUUCUGAAGGUCGGAGACCUUCUGCGACCACUUCUGUUCAUCAUCGACCCGGGCCAAGAGCCGGGAUGAAUUUCCUUCCAGCUGGCCGAUCUUCCUCUUCGCAGCUGACAGUUCCACCUUAAGGGCGCUGAUCCUGGCUUCUUGAGCCAAAUACGGUCGCUGGUGCUCUUCUUGCACUCCUCGAGUUCCUUUGCGAAGUUCGCCUUCCUCCGGCUGUAAUCCAUGAUCGCCUUCACAUGAAGACUCCGAAAGUGGGCGGCCUCAGCGGCGGCUUCAGAAUGGCCUUCUCUCGAUUUGCGGAGUUCGCCUUCCGUCUUCUCCAACUUCUUCGUCAGGUGAAGGACCUCCUUUUUCAACCGCUGGAUUGUCGAUUUCAGCGGGACCCCCAGGGGCAAGGGGAGUGCUUCUGCAGGGCACUGCCAUCGGAAGGCAAAAGCAUCAGGGAACGACUCAUUGCAAGGAGAAAAGCAGAAAGAAGGAGGAGGGGGAAGGAGAAGCC